CCUACGGGAGGCAGCAGUGGGGAAUAUUGGGCAAUGGAGGAAACUCUGACCCAGCAACGCCGCGUGAAGGAUGAAGGUUUUCGGAUUGUAAACUUCUGUCGCGAGGGAUGAAGAAUGACGGUACCUCGUAAGAAAGCCCCGGCAAACUACGUGCCAGCAGCCGCGGUAAUACGUAGGGGGCGAGCGUUGUCCGGAAUGACUGGGCGUAAAGGGAGUGUAGGCGGCAUAUUAAGUUAUGUGUGAAAGCCCGCGGCUCAACCGCGGAAUUGCACAUAAAACUGGUAAGCUGGAGUGCAGGAGAGGUAAGUGGAAUUCGUGGUGUAGCGGUGAAAUGCUUAGAUAUCACGAAGAACCCCGAUUGCGAAGGCAGCUUACUAAACUGUGACUGACAUUGAUGCUCGAAAGUGUGGGUAUCAAACAGGAUUAGAUACCCCAGUAGUC
rnacentral:rRNA from 1 species